ACGGGGUGCAGCAGGCGCGAAACCUUUGCAAUGUGCGCAAGCACGACAAGGUUAAUCCGAGUGUUUCCUGCUAAAGGAAUCUUUUGUUAGUCGUAAAACCACUGAUGAAUAAGGGGUGGGCAAGUUCUGGUGACAGCCGCCGCGGUAAAACCAGCACCUCAAGUGGUCAGGAGGAUUAUUGGGCCUAAAGCAUCCGUAGCCGGCUCUGCAAGUUUUCGGUUAAAUCCAUUUGCUUAACAAAUGGGCUGCCGAAAAUACUACAUAGCUAGGGAGUGGGAGAGGUAGACGGUAUUCGGUAGGAAGGGGUAAAAUCCUUUGAUCUAUUGAGGACCACCUAUGGCGAAGGCAGUCUACCAGAACACGUUCGACGGUGAGGGAUGAAAGCUGGGGGAGCAAACCGGAUUAGAUACCCGGGUAGUCCCAGCUGUAAACGAUGCAGACUCGGUGGUGCACUGGCUUGUGGCCAGUGCAGUGCCGCAGGGAAGCCGUUAAGUUUGCCGCCUGGGAAGUACGUACGCAAGUAUGAAACUUAAAGGAAUUGGCGGGGGAGCAC
rnacentral:rRNA from 2 species